GACGAACCGUGCGAACGUUAUUCGGAAUCACUGGGCUUAAAGCGCGUGUAGGCGGGCGGGCGCGUCGGCCGCUGAAAUCCCCCGGCUCAACCGGGGAAGGGGCGCCGAGACGGCCGGCCUGGAGGGACGUAGGGGGGCUGGAACUUCCGGUGGAGCGGUGAAAUGCGUUGAGAUCGGAAGGAACGCCCGUGGCGAAAGCGAGCCCCUGGACGUCUACUGACGCUGAGACGCGAAAGCCAGGGGAGCGAACGGG
rnacentral:rRNA from 1 species